rnacentral:rRNA from 1 species
GACGAACGCUGGCGGCGUGCUUAACACAUGCAAGUCGAACGGAAAGGCCCUGCUUUUGUGGGGUGCUCGAGUGGCGAACGGGUGAGUAACACGUGAGUAACCUGCCCUUGACUUUGGGAUAACUUCAGGAAACUGGGGCUAAUACCGGAUAGGAGCUCCUGCUGCAUGGUGGGGGUUGGAAAGUUUCGGCGGUUGGGGAUGGACUCGCGGCUUAUCAGCUUGUUGGUGGGGUAGUGGCUUACCAAGGCUUUGACGGGUAGCCGGCCUGAGAGGGUGACCGGCCACAUUGGGACUGAGAUACGGCCCAGACUCCUACGGGAGGCAGCAGUGGGAAAUAUUGCACAAGGGGCGGAAGCCUGAGGCAGCAACGCCGCGUGCGGGAUGACGGCCUUCGUGUUGUAAACCGCUUUCGCCUGUGACGAAGCGUGAGUGACGGUAAUGGGUAAAGAAGCACCGGCUAACUACGUG